ACCUUAGAGACCAACUAAGUUUGUUCUUGGUAUAAGCUUUAGUGUGCAUGCACACUAAAGCUUAUACCAAGAACAAACUUAGUUGGUCUCUAAGGU